rnacentral:rRNA from 1 species
UGGGGGAUAUUGCACAAUGGGCGAAAGCCUGAUGCAGCGACGCCGCGUGGGGGAUGAAGGCCUUCGGGUUGUAAACUUCUUUUGCUCUGAACAAGGCAUGCUAAUGGGUGUGUUGAGUGUAGGGGUUGAUUAGCGCCGGCUAACUACGUGCCAGCAGCCGCGGUAAUACGUAGGGCGCGAGCGUUGUCCGGAAUUAUUGGGCGUAAAGGGCUUGUAGGUGGCUGGUUGCGUCUGUCGUGAAAGCUCAUGGCUUAACUGUGGGUUUGCGGGGGGUACGGGCUGGCUUGAGUGCAGUAGGGGAGGCUGGAAUUCCUGGUGUAGCGGUGGAAUGCGCAGAUAUCAGGAGGAAUACCGGUGGCGAAGGCGGGUCUCUGGGCUGUUACUGACACUGAGGAGCGAAAGCAUGGGGAGAGAACAGG